rnacentral:rRNA from 1 species
UACAGAGGUGGCAAGCGUUGUUCGGAAUUACUGGGCGUAAAGGGCGCGUAGGCGGCCUUCUAAGUCAGACGUGAAAUCCCCCGGCUUAACCUGGGAACUGCGUCUGAUACUGGGAGGCUUGAGUAUGGGAGAGGGAUGUAGAAUUCCGGGUGUAGCGGUGGAAUGCGUAGAGAUCCGGAAGAACACCGGUGGCGAAGGCGGCCUGCUGGGCAGUAGCUGACGCUGAGGCGCGACAGCGUGGGGAGCGAACAGG